rnacentral:rRNA from 1 species
UACGUAGGGUGCAAGCGUUGUCCGGAAUUAUUGGGCGUAAAGAGCUCGUAGGCGGUUUGUCGCGUCUGCUGUGAAAACUCGGGGCUUAACCCCGGGCCUGCAGUGGGUACGGGCAGACUAGAGUGCGGUAGGGGAGACUGGAAUUCCUGGUGUAGCGGUGAAAUGCGUAGAUAUCAGGAGGAACACCAGUGGCGAAGGCGAGUCCCUGGACAAUACCUGACACUGAGGCACGAAAGCCGGGGGAGCAAACAGG